rnacentral:rRNA from 1 species
UGCACCAGUGGGGAAUCUUGCGCAAUGGGCGAAAGCCUGACGCAGCAACGCCGCGUGCGGGAAGAAGGCCUUCGGGUUGUAAACCGCUUUCAGCAGGAACGAAAAUGACGGUACCUGCAGAAGAAGGUGCGGCCAACUAUGUGCCAGCAGCCGCGGUGAUACAUAGGCACCAAGCGUUGUCCGGAUUUAUUGGGCGUAAAGAGCUCGUAGGCGGUUCAGUCAGUCGGGUGUGAAAACUCUGGGCUUAACCCAGAGCCUGCACCCGAUACUGCUGUGACUAGAGUUCGGUAGGGGAGCGGGGAAUUCCUGGUGUAGCGGUGAAAUGCGCAGAUAUCAGGAGGAACACCGAUGGCGAAGGCACCGCUCUGGGCCGAAACUGACGCUGAGGAGCGAAAGCAUGGGUAGCAAACAGGAUUAGAUACCCCCGUAGUCCG